CUAGUUUUCUUAAAUUCAUUGAAGGCUUCUACUUUGUGAUACACUCUGAACCAAUCUACAGCAGACCACAAGUGUUUUUAAUCAAUAGAGUUCAGUGGAGGCCCCAGGGGAUCGAGGCACGGUGGCUGACGGCGCUGUGUGGCCUCUCAAAGCUAUGUGUGGUCCUGAACACCAGAGGCAUAUUUCACUAUGGAAAUGUCACCUCCGAGUGGAGCAUGUGAGAACUGCAGAGCCACAGCUGUACUGUCUAGCCUGCUUGAUUUGAGUCAUUUUGACAUGUGCUGUAGAAUAACAUCUCCAACAAGCAGCCACACAUGUGAAGGUCUGUGUUAAGUUUUUCAUAUCAACAUAAAUGA